rnacentral:lncRNA from 1 species
UGUUAAAUGAGUGUUUGAAAAUAAUUGGUGUAUUAAUAUAAGGGUUGUUUAAAAUAUAAUUAAUUCAUUAAAUCAAGAUAAAAUGAAAGUCGUGGAUGUGGAGUAACUAUUUUUGUUUUUGUGUGAACCCUCUUAUUCUCAUGGAAAGAGAUUUGAUAGAGGAUUAACUAAAAAACAUUUCUCGUCCAUUAGCUCACCUUCGUAUCGUUAAUGGAUUCUACAACCAAAUACGAUUAUGUCUUGACAAUAAUACAAAAUUUAUAAUUAUGUCAUUGAAAAUAAUAAGUAAAAAUUGGUACAAUUAUAUCUCUGACUAAAAAUAAUAAUUUUAUGCCCUCGCAAAAAAUAUUUUGAAGUAUAAUGAGAUAGAGACUAAAUUUUCAAAUUUGUUUUUGGAACUAAAAAGGUGCUUUUAUUUUUCUUAGCAACUAAAUUAGGUCUCAAUUUUUAUACAAAACUAAAUUUUAUCUUCACUCAAAAUUCAAUUGUGACUUCAUUCACUAUGAUAACAUAGAAAUGUAAAUUUUACAAAAUCAUAUUUCUAAUCAAAUUUUUUU